rnacentral:rRNA from 1 species
AACCUUUUACACUGCACGCCCAGUGCGAUAAGGGGACUCCAAGUGCGAGGGCAUAUAGUCCUCGCUUUUCUGGACCGUAAGGAGGUCCAGGAACAAGGGCUGGGCAAGGCCGGUGCCAGCCGCCGCGGUAAUACCGGCAGCCCAAGUGAUGGCCGCUCUUAUUGGGCCUAAAGCGUCCGUAGCUGGCCAGGCAAGUCCGUCGGGAAAUCCGCACGCCCAACGUGCGGGCGUCCGGUGGAAACUGCCUGGCUUGGGACCGGAAGACCUGAGGGGUACGUCCGGGGUAGGAGUGAAAUCCCGUAAUCCUGGACGGACCACCGGUGGCGAAAGCGCCUCAGGAAGACGGAUCCGACGGUGAGGGACGAAAGCUCGGGUCACGAACCGGAUUAGAUACCCGGGUAGUCCGAGCUGUAAACGAUGUCUGCUAGGUGUGACACAGGCUACGAGCCUGUGUUGUGCCGUAGGGAAGCCGUGAAGCAGACCGCCUGGGAAGUACGUCCGCAAGGAUGAAAAUUAA